GCCCUGCUAGCUCAGUGGUAGAGCGUCGCACUCGUAUACGCCCAUUGUUGCAUCCGAUGCGAAGGUCAGUCGUUCAAGUCGGCUGUGGGGCA